UGGAUGUUACAGCCGUGCCUGUUUAUUUGUGUAGUCUGGAGGCAUAAGGAAGAGCAGCCGUGUGCACACGGACCUCCGAUUUGGUCCGUCUGUACAAUCAACAUCUAAACAAGAUUACAAGUUAUGAAUGAGGAACGAACUGGAGAGAGAAACUGGAAAAAAGGAAGCUAGUCUUGAUUAAGACGACUACGUCAGGCCGUCUUGUUUAUUCUCUUACAUCAUAGCCCCGGCUCAAAACGGUCCGGUCCACGGAAGCCAUCAAUCGCCAGCUUUCUGUUUUGAAUUUGCGCUCUAGUCUUGAGCUUGAUUUCUGGGGGCGGCAGGGUUGACGAAUGCUUAAUAUCAUAGACCGACCGUUUAAGGGGUUUAACGGUGUUGAAUCGAGAGAGCAAAGGGAAUAUAGCUCUCUUUAUGCGAAAGAAAGCCCAAAGCAUCCAGUGCAAGAGUGAUGAUCUGUGGCUUGGGGUGGGAGUGGACAUCCUCUUGAAAAAAAAACAUACUUUCACAAGACCGCGAAAAGAAGGAGGAGCGAGGUCGCCGCCAUCCCCCGCGUCAGAUAAAUGCUAGUCAUCACAGCAAGCUCCCCUUUUCCCCGACACGUUCUUGAAUCUCCGUUUGGACCGGAUGAUGUUGUACGUGACUGGUCUCAGUGGGACUCUUGCAAGGCAUUGCUAUUCAGGAAUGUAAUACAACAAAAGAACCCUCAUAAUCAUCCCAAACAGUCCACACACUGCUCAGACUUAGACUGGGCUUAAAGUCUUUCCCCCCUGAUUUUGCCAGGAAAUGUAGUGGCAUGGAUCCACGCAGGCAAUUAGGCUCUGACCACCGGCAAACAGCGGCCAAGUAAAAUACCAGUAAAGAGAAUGACGGUCUGCGCACCUCAAUUAAAUGGGUUUGCUCAUGUGCAGGACUCGCCAAAAGGACUCAAGCUAUAAUUUGAAUGAAAAAAAAAAAAAAUGGUUUAAUGCUGGACAAAGCCACAAAACAUGGGGAAAGUACGGUGAAAACACUGUGGAGUCUGAAUGGUGCCGGGCUGGGUGAGAAUGAUUAAAAAGUUGUUUGUUUCUCAUGUUUGGAUUGCUAUCUAACAUUUAAAAAAGACAGAAAUGAAAUGUGUGUGUGUGUGUGUGUGUGUGUGUGUGUGUGUGUGUGGGGAAUAUCUGUGGGCUGAUUCAAACGCAUUCAGAAGUGUGUAUUCACAUUAUUCUUCACAACUUCGGAACUUAAAGACAUUGUUUGUCCUUUGAACUUCAAUUCA